GAUGAACGCUAGCUACAGGCUUAACACAUGCAAGUCGAGGGACCGGCGCACGGGUGAGUACCACGUAUCCAACCUGCCCUUUACUCGGGGAUAGCCUUUCGCAAGAAAGAUUAAUACCCGAUAUAAAGGAUGGGGAUGCGUUCCAUUAGGUUGUUGGUGAGGUAACGGCCCACCAAGCCUUCGAUGGAUAGGGGUUCUGAGAGGAAGGUCCCCCACAGUGGAACUGGGACACGGUCCAAACUCCUACGGGAGGAAGAAGUGAGGAAUAUUGGUCAAUGGGCGGGAGCCUGAACCAGCCAAGUAGCGUGAAGGAUGAAGGCUUAUGGGUCGUAAACUUAUUUUAUAUAAGAAGAUGUAUUAUAUGAAUAAGGAUCGGCUAACUCCGUGCCAGCAGCCGCGGUAAUUC
rnacentral:rRNA from 1 species